UACGUAGGGGGCAAGCGUUGUCCGGAAUCAUUGGGCGUAAAGCGCGCGUAGGCGGCCCGGUAAGUCCGUUGUAAAAGUCGAAGGCUCAACCUUCGAAAGCCGAUGGAUACUGCCGGGCUAGAGUCCGGAAGAGGCGAGUGGAAUUCCUGGUGUAGCGGUGAAAUGCGCAGAUAUCAGGAGGAACACCAAUUGCGAAGGCAGCUCGCUGGGACGUAACUGACGCUGAGACGCGACAGCGUGGGGAGCAAACAGG
rnacentral:rRNA from 1 species